rnacentral:sRNA from 1 species
CACCGGUGUCAACCAACCAGCCUUGGGU